GGAGGCGUGCCUAAUACAUGCAAGUCGAACGAAUCUUCUUCGGAAGAUGAGUGGCGAACGGGUGAGUAAUACAUAGGUAACCUGCCCCUGUGCGGGGGAUAACAGGAGGAAACUCCUGCUAAUACCGCAUAGCCAUGAGCACCGCAUGGAGCUCAUGCCAAAUAUCCUUCAGGGGAUAGCGCAGGGAUGGACCUAUGGCGCAUUAGCUAGUUGGCGGGGCAACGGCCCACCAAGGCAACGAUGCGUAGCCGGCCUGAGAGGGCGGACGGCCACAUUGGGACUGAGACACGGCCCAGACUCCUACGGGAGGCAGCAGUAGGGAAUUUUCGGCAAUGGGGGAAACCCUGACCGAGCAACGCCGCGUGAGCGAAGAAGGCCUUCGGGUCGUAAAGCUCUGUUGUAAAGGAAGAACGUCGCAUGCAGGAAAUGGUGUGCGAGUGACGGUACUUUACCA
rnacentral:rRNA from 1 species